rnacentral:rRNA from 1 species
ACUCCUACGGGAGGCAGCAGUGGGGAAUAUUGCACAAUGGGCGCAAGCCUGAUGCAGCAACGCCGUGUGAGUGAAGAAGGUUUUCGGAUCGUAAAACUCUGUCCUAAGGGAAGAAACAAAUGACGGUACCUUAGGAGGAAGCCCGGCUAACCUACGUGCCAGCAGCCGCGGUAAUACGUAGGGGCAAGGCGUUAUCCGGAAUCACUGGGCGUAAAGGGGUGCGUAGGCGGCUUAGCAAGCCAGGGGUGAAAGGCAUUGGCUCAACCAAUGUAAGCCUUUGGAACUGUUAAGCUUGAGUGCAGGAGAGGUAAGUGGAAUUCCUAGUGUAGAGGUGAAAUUCGUAGAUAUUAGGAGGAACACCAGUGGCGAAGGCGACUUACUGGACUGUAACUGACGCUGAUGCACGAAAGCGUGGGUAGCGGAACAGGAUUAGAUACCCUGGUAGACUGUCA